UACAGAGGUCUCAAGCGUUGUUCGGAUUCAUUGGGCGUAAAGGGUGCGUAGGCGGCGCGGUAAGUCGGGUGUGAAAUCUUGGAGCUUAACUCCGAAACUGCAUUCGAUACUGCCGUGCUUGAGGACUGGAGAGGAGACUGGAAUUUACGGUGUAGCGGUGAAAUGCGUAGAUAUCGUAAGGAAGACCAGUGGCGAAGGCGGGUCUCUGACAGUUCCUGACGCUGAGGCACGAAGGCCAGGGGGAGCAAACGGG
rnacentral:rRNA from 1 species